UGGGGAAUAUUGCGCCAAUGCGCGAAAGCGUGACGCAGCGACGCCGCGUGGGGGAUGAAGGCCCUCGGGUCGUAAACCCCUUUCGGCAGGGACGAAGCGAAAGUGACGGUACCUGCAGAAGAAGUCCCGGCUAACUACGUGCCAGCAGCCGCGGUAACACGUAGGGGACGAGCGUUGUCCGGAUUCAUUGGGCGUAAAGAGCGCGUAGGCGGUCGUGCAAGUCGGUUGUGAAAUCCCGGGGCUUAACCCCGGGCCUGCGUCCGAUACUGCACGACUCGAGGUAGGUAGGGGAGAUCGGAAUUCCUGGUGUAGCGGUGAAAUGCGCAGAUAUCAGGAGGAACACCGGUGGCGAAGGCGGAUCUCUGGGCCUUACCUGACGCUGAGGCGCGAAAGCUAGGGGAGCGAACAG
rnacentral:rRNA from 1 species